CCAGGCCCGCCGCCGCGGCCGCCCGAGCCGAGCCUCGCCUCGCCUCGCGGAGGAGGCCCCUUAGCUGCGCCAGCAGAGGCCAGGGGUGUGCAUUUUCGCUCCACAAGCCCGCUCCAUCCUGAUCGGUUAUCCCCACCCCUCUGCUUGCAGUAUUUAAAUAGGCAACGAGGGCCACGCGGACACAAUAAUGUGGCUUGUUUUGUCUUUGGCAUUUUCUGCAGGACCCCAGAGCUGGACCUUCCUCCCCGCCCUCCCCCUAGACCCGGCAUCCUUCCUCCCGGUCUGCACAGGCCCCGUUGCGCAGGUCCUCGGGGUUCCAGCGGGAUCCGAGUCAUUGGAACCAGAACACCUGGCGGAAACAUGCCAUAUCACUAGAAGGAUUUUCUUUCUCUUCGCCUUCUGUUCCUUCCUUUCUUUCUUUUUCCUAAGAGGGCUGGAAUUGGCUGCCUGUGUGAGCCGAGAAGCUGGGCGGGAGAGGAAAGCCGCCCCACUCUCUCCGCUGGCCGAGGUCUCCAGCUCCCGCGCUGCCGCCGGACUCGCUUCCGUUCCUCGGCCUCUCGGCCUCCGGCUCCCAUCGGUUUUUCCUCUCUCCACCAUCUUCUCGGUUUAAUUAAAGUUCAGCGACUCCACUUGCCGUUCCUUCCACUCUCGUUUUGUGUUUUGUUUUGUUUUGUUUUUUCUCGGAAAGCAGAAAGCAGACGGCCCAGCGGCCACCGGCCCAGCGGCCCCAGCACAGCCCGGGCCUGCCGCCGGUGGGGCCUCCCCUAGCCGGCCUCCCUCCGGCGACCGCCUUCUGGACCGGGCCCCCUGCCACUCCACCGUCCGGAAGGUGUGCAGCCGCUGGCCUGGGGCAUCUGAACGCCGGGGGCUGGGGUAAGAGUGUCCUGUCUGCCCCUGUACCCCAGGCUUGCUCCAGAGAGCUUGAAGGGUGUAUACCCCGCCUCAGACAACCCGCUCCCCCAAACCCAUGACCAACUAAUCUAUGACAAAAGCCCGUGAUGGAUUUGGUAUAUGUUAAUUCACAAUGCCCUUUCCUCCAGAAUUUAACUAUAAGUUAAUACACACCGGAAACCACGCGCAUACACGGUCGUUAAUGGGCUUAGGUAUUAGCGAGUCCUAACGAUGCAUACAAAUGUGCUCUGCGCUCUGUAGGCCCCUCAAGAUUUAUGGGCCUUGAGCUCUCUGAAGCUGUAAACAAGGAGAAAAAAGAGAAAGAGAGAGAGACUGGGGGAAAAGAGACAGGGGCCUGACUCACCCUUCCAGGUUGUGGGAGAGGAGGGAUCUUUGCAAGUGGGUUUCACUUAUUUUCCUUUCCUUACCAGCUCCCCUCGCUCACGCGUGGGUUUUGGCAGGGUCUGGGGGUGGUGUUUGUGCCUGAAAGCUGGUGUGCGCCGGCAGUGUGUUGUUUGCAUGCUGGGGCAGGCGGAUGUCUGCCUCCUGUGAAUUGUUGUGCAGGGCCUGAAUGGAACAGGCACUUGUGGGCAUAUGCUAUGUGUGCACACCUGCUAGGGGUGUGUGUGUGUGUGUGUGUGUGUGUGUGUGUGUGCGCUUGUGACAAGCAGGCUUCCCUCUGGGUCUGGCUGCUGUACCUGAAUCCAGUGAACAAAUCUCCAACAACAAUCAUAAUAACGAUAAAUAAAAACAGUAGUUAACAGCCCCUCCCUAGCAGGAUAACAGUAAAAUGCAAGAGGAGAUAUUUUAAAGAGGGGAUGGGGAAGGGGUCAUGGUCACAGAAUCUGAGGGGAAGACAGGAAAAGAAGUUAGCUUCUUCGUAUAUCCUUGGGGGCUGGGUUUGGGACCCCCCCAGAGAAGGUUCUUCAGCCAGAGGAGCUGAGGGAGGCCAGGAGGCCGAUCUUUCCUGCUGCUUUUUUCCAGCUUUUGCUUCGUGUGAUCAGGGGAGGGCUGGUGGCUUUGGGGACUUUCUGGAGCCCCUGUUUUAAAGAGAAGGCCAACCAUGUAGGGACAGACAUGGAUAAGGCAAUGACCACAGCUGGGCCCAUUGUGCCGGGAGGUGGAGGUGCCCUGGAGGACGAGCGCGGCUGGCCAGGCAGGGGUGGAAUUUAUGGCCGCGGAGAGAGGGGAGAGCAAGGGCAGGGCUCCGGUAGGCCCAGCGAAAGUUCCCUUCCAAGGGUCUUUGGAGAGAGAGAGAGAGAGAGAGAGAGAGAGAGAGAGAGAGAGAGAGAGAGAGAGAGAGAGAGAGAGAGAGAAAGGAAAAAGAAGAAGGAGAAAGGGGUGGAGGCCCGUUGAAAUUUCCUUGGCUCGCGCUAGAACAGAGCGAAUUUCCGUAACGGAAGAGAAGACACGGUCCCGGAUCCUUCCAUGGACGCCUCACUCUCUCCAGGCCUCUCCACUUGCCCGAGCUCUCGGCCACCAGGAGACGGACACAGAAGGAGCUUGUGGGCUGCUGACUCCUGCAGGGCUUCCCAGAGUCCAGCCACCUCAACCCUCCUUGGGGGGAAUAUCGGUGCCAGACACCUCUGUGCCCUGUCAGAUGUGACUGCGCUCACGUCAGGAUUAUCUUACAAAGAAGAAGAAGAAAAGCCGGGUGUUUAUAGCUAGUUCUACUGAUCCGUUCACAUCUGGAGAGUUUAUUUAUAACUCCCACUAGAACUCUCUCUGUUUGGAAGCACUGGUGGCUCUAUUGACAGACUGAUGCCUAGAAAAUAUUGCUCUAUCUCUAACCAUACCUAAAUGUGCUGUGGUUGUAUUUACAGAUUUAUGCUCGAGGAAAAUAUAAUUAUUUCCAUUGUGUUUGUGCAUA